UCCUCACUCCAGACCUUGACCUGAUCGUCUGUGUAUCGCUACGUAAACGUUUGCCUGCACACACCCUGAUGCUAAAAAUCAUCAUUGCAUCACGUCGGGAAAACGACACAGAACGACAGGAAGGGGUCAAUGGCCGAUACGCUUUCAAAUUAGCGUGGAAUUUUGUCCGAUCUUGGGGCAAAGGGGAAGAGUAAAAAUGUGCAUCAUGCUAAAUCUCGGAAGAUUUUUACGCUAUUCUGUGCAAAAAUGAUCGUACUCACUUUUUAUGUGGGGAUAAUCAGGGGGAAAAUUGAUGGAUACAAAUUUAAGGUAUUCGCUGACAACAACGAUUAUUGUCCUGGGCUUGAUUGUUGCUGCAGGAUUAACCGCAGUAUUGCACUAAUU
rnacentral:sRNA from 1 species